rnacentral:rRNA from 1 species
UACGUAGGUGACAAGCGUUGUCCGGAUUUACUGGGCGUAAAGAGCGCGCAGGCGGUCGUUCAAGUCGAGUGUGAAAGCCCCCGGCUCAACUGGGGAGGGUCAUUCGAUACUGAUCGACUCGAAGGCAGGAGAGGGUAGUGGAAUUCCCGGUGUAGUGGUGAAAUGCGUAGAUAUCGGGAGGAACACCAGUGGCGAAGGCGACUACCUGGCCUGUUCUUGACGCUGAGGCG